ensembl:lncRNA
GUCUGUUCCUUCCUCUGGGCUGAGCUGGGGGCUCCAGGUCUCUACGAGACAUCCAGCUGCUGGUGUCAAUGCCUGCCCUGCCUUACCGACCACACUGGACUUGUUGUCCGGGUCACACAGCUCCCUGAUCAGACCUUCCCUCAGCAGAGCCGCUCCUGUCCCUGGCCCUGGGGCCCCCUGGCUCCUGGCCUGUCUCAUUCUCACUUACGGCAUAUCUCCACUUCCAGAUGGUGCCUCUGCCCCACGCGAAGCACAUUUUUAAGGAGUGUCUGCUGAUCGGGAUGGGAGGAGGCUCAGGGCUGAUGGUGGUCACAGAGGCGGGCUGGCAGCUCCCACGCUCCACUCGGCCCAACGCCCAGCUUGGGAGGCAGCUGGGAUGAGCUGACGCAGAGAAAGCGACUUUCAAAAUGGGCCCUGCAGGGGUGAGGGUGCUCUCGGCAAGAACAUCACCCAGGCUCCCCACCCCCAAGCUGGCUUUGAUCUGUGGUUCUGGGUCAAUAAAUGAGCACCAUCCUGCUUCAUCAGGGUAAUGAGCAUGGCCCGGACCGCCGACACAUCCCCAAACAUUGAGCUUUGUUUUGACCACUAGCCUUGACCUUGGCACUCUGACCUCCCUCCCACAUUUUCCAUCAAACCAUAAGGUCACCCAUUCCCUCCAUGAGGGCUUUUGAAGACAUGAGACAUCUUGACUUCUAUUUCCCCGACACCCGUCUCUCUGCCAGACCCAGAGGGCUCGCAGGAGGCUGUACUGUCCACAACCCGGCCUUCCGCGUCGCUGCCGAACAUCCGAAGAAGGACAGAAAGGCGAUGCACGUCUGUCUCUCGCCCCAGCCAGCUGGAGGUGCUCUGUGAUGACAGUCCUGGCAGACUAAUUCAUCAGAUUCACCCUUCAUCCUUCAAGCCCCCCAGUCAGGGGUAGACCGGCUUUAGCACUUUCACCAGAAGCCCGUCUCCCCAGCAUUACUGACCCCAGCUGCUGUCCAUCUGUCUUUUGCGCUUCCGGGGUUACUUUUCAGUGUAACCAACGAGUUCAGCACUUUGGGACUCAAACAUCUGACGGAGGUGCCAGUUGAGGCUCUGCCAGCCGUGCUCCCGCCACGCACCGCACCGUACCGUCCCGGCGUCGGUUUAACCAGCCACCUGCCCGCAGGAGGACAUCAGGCCCCUGGGAAACACGAGCCGGGUUGUCACCUUCGUGUCCCCAGGACUCUGCCAUGGCACGCAGGGCCAGGUGUCCGGUGAGAGUCCCAGCACACCCGCACGCUGGCGGAGCUACAGAGGUCACGGGUGCGGGCUCAAAGGCGACACGAGGCGGCUUUUACGUGAAGCAGCACUGCUGCACGGGCAUCGCGUGGCCACCCACGUGACUCUUCUCCGCAAGGGCCGCUACUCAUCUGAAAGGGAGCGAUCUCACCAUUUGUUCAGAAACGGUGCACUUCAGAGGGACAUGCUGGGCUGUUUCCAGAACUUGUUUAAACAGACGCGAGAUGGUCGUUAGGGUCCCUGUACUGUGAAUAACCUCAGUGUCCGUCCUGGCCACCCAGCCUAUGCGUGAUGAGGACGAAGAGUGGGAGAACACACUCUGUGUGGGUGGGUGUGUGCGUGUGCUCGUGUACGCGUGUGUGUGUGCACACUCACCUCUGUGGACACGUGCGUGUUUUAUGUACAGCUAGGAAGGACCAGAACAUGCUACCAGGGCAAACCUGGGGGACCUGGGUGUCCUCUUGGCGCGCACCGGAACCCUGCCUCUGCCCCUGCUAGCAGAGGGCAUAACUCACACACCAUCUGAGAGUGGGGAUCGCUCCUGCCAAAGCAGAAUGUUAGGAUGGACAUCGCAGGCACGGGAGGACCCGGGGGUGCUGGACUCAGCCGCGAGCCCCAUUCAAAAUACUUCAGGAAAGUCUCUGACUCCAUUUAAAGGGGGACGAUAUGGGCUUCCUUGGGGGCUCAGUGGUAAAGAACUCGCGUACAGUGCCAGAGCCACGGGAGAUGCGGGUUCGAUUCCUGGGCUCUGGAGGAGGGCAUGGCAACCCACUCCAGUAUUCUUGCCUGGAGAAUCCCCAUGGACAGAGGAGCCUGGCAGGCUACCACCCACAGAGUCGAAAAGAAUCAGAUACGACUGAAGCAACUGGGCACACAGGCACAUUAUGCCUUUGGAUCACACUUUACAGAAAGGUGGAUGAACAUGAUGGAGGGUGUGCCCAGGUGUGCCCUGCACCCCCUCCGCCACAGCCACCUAAACCCCCAUCUCUCUCCC